AUUGAACGCUGGCGGCAUGCUUUACACAUGCAAGUUGAACGGUAACAGGUUAAGCUGACGAGUGGCGAACGGGUGAGUAAUGCAUCGGAACGUGCCCGGUCGUGGGGGAUAACGCAGCGAAAGCUGCGCUAAUACCGCAUACGAUCUGAGGAUGAAAGCGGGGGACCGUAAGGCCUCGCGCGAUCGGAGCGGCCGAUGUCAGAUUAGGUAGUUGGUGGGGUAAAGGCUCACCAAGCCAACGAUCUGUAGCUGGUCUGAGAGGACGGCCAGCCACACUGGGACUGAGACACGGCCCAGACUCCUACGGGAGGCAGCAGUGGGGAAUUUUGGACAAUGGGCGAAAGCCUGAUCCAGCAAUGCCGCGUGCAGGAAGAAGGCCUUCGGGUUGUAAACUGCUUUUGUACGGAGCGAAAAGGUCUCCUCUAAUACAGGGGGCUCAUGACGGUACCGUAAGAAUAAGCACCGGCUAACUACGUGCAGCCGCCGCCGUAA
rnacentral:rRNA from 1 species